GCACUGCCUUUGAGCCUCUGGCGCUCCUCUUUGUGGCACUAGGUGACAAACUGCUGCACCAUAGCAGCUCCUGCUGCAUAACUUGGGCUGUCUGCCCAUCACAGGCACCCCUAGCUACAGGCUAAAAA